UGGGGAAUAUUGGGCAAUGGGCGCAAGCCUGACCCAGCAACGCCGCGUGAAGGAAGAAGGCUUUCGGGUUGUAAACUUCUUUUCUGAGGGACGAAGAAAGUGACGGUACCUCAGGAAUAAGCCACGGCUAACUACGUGCCAGCAGCCGCGGUAAUACGUAGGUGGCAAGCGUUAUCCGGAUUUAUUGGGUGUAAAGGGCGUGUAGGCGGGAGCGCAAGUCAGAUGUGAAAACUCAGGGCUCAACCCUGAGCCUGCAUUUGAAACUGUGUUUCUUGAGUGCUGGAGAGGCAAUCGGAAUUCCGUGUGUAGCGGUGAAAUGCGUAGAUAUACGGAGGAACACCAGUGGCGAAGGCGGAUUGCUGGACAGUAACUGACGCUGAGGCGCGAAAGCGUGGGGAGCAAACAGGAUUAGAUACC
rnacentral:rRNA from 1 species